AUGGAAGGGGAAUAUUCUUACCUUUCUUUGUGCAGAGCUGGGUAUGGGCGCUGCCCUGCCUACCUGCCCACACAUAGGCAAGCAGCUUUCUCUUCCUCUUCUUUCUCAGAUCAACAGAUGCUAGUCAGUGACCUUCAACAUUCUGAACACAUCCAAGAUACUGAGGAACAGUCUGCUUCAGAGGGGCUGCUAAGAAAACUGAAACCAUGGCCUCUUCCCUCAUUCAAAGUGGGAUCUGUCUCUUCCCCCAUAUUACCACCACCACUGCUGGCAGCAGAACGUUUCCUUAGACCAGGGGCAAGAUGAACUAUCCUAUGAGUGGCAAAACUGUUUAUUUCUUCUGGGAAGGAAGGGAAAGGCAAGUACAAGUUCGAAAGUUAUAUCCUUAAACUGCAUACUGCAAAUGUAAGUGAAUGCUCUCCUACUUCUCCUGCUUGGCAACC
rnacentral:lncRNA from 1 species